ACUUCCACUGUCUAUUUGCUUUUUCAUUCUGAAACCACCCAUCUCCAUUUCUUCCUAAUUUUGCUCCGACCCUCUCCCUCUCUUCGUCUUUUUCUUUUCCUUUCCACUCUCUCCUCCCUCAAAACAGCGUCAUUCAUCACCCCCUUUUGUUCUUUUUUUUUUUCCCUUUCCUUUUCUUUGAUGUUGUGAUUCCUCUAAAGACCGAGGCGAACGCUAAGCCGAGGGAGGAUGACGACGAGCCCGAAGAAGGAGAGAUCGUCGGCAACCAAGACUCGGCGUCGUCGAAGCCUUCGAAGGGAAUUGCGCCGCAGUCUCACGCCCUGGAGCACUCCUGGACCUUCUGGUUCAAUAGCCCUGCCGCAAAGUCCGCCAAGUCCAAGCAGGAGGAUUGGGGCAGCUCCAUCGGCCCGAUCUACACCUUCAUUACCGUCGAGGAGUUCUGGAGUUUGUGAUAGAACAAAUUUGGCCAUUUUUUGGUGGUGGAAGAACCCUCGCAGGGAGGAGGAAGAAGCCCAGAACUCACAGAAGGGCUCUCAGGGAGGAGGAAGAAGCCGGUCUUAGCAAGUCCCAUGGUUUGGGGAGUGCCUCGCUAAGAACCUUUAAGGAGGCCUCUAGUCCACACGAGUCCCCUUUAGUCCCACUUAACUUAGUCCCAUCACCUAUCAAACAUGGGACUGUAGUCCAGUCCAGUCCAGUCCCUCCUAAGGAGGUGAAACAAACGCCCCCUUAAGUGACGUGGAAGAAAAUUCAGAAGAAAAUCCAAAAGACUUUGAUGAAGUUCCAAUCAAAUUGUUGAAAAAAAAAAUCAUCACCCAUUGGUACAAAGACAGGUCCUCUUGCUUUAAAAAAAGACUAGGUUGCUUUCCCAGUGGUGAAAAAUACUUGACCAAAACGUCAGUUGUUCCAGGCAUCAAAUUUACAGUCCUUUCUCAAUAUAUGUAUCAAACAUCCCUAAUAUUUUUGGCCAUGUAAAUAGCUCUCUCUAAUCUAGACAGCACAAUAUUUUUUGGUAUGUAAAUAAUUCUGUCUAACCUAGGGAGCAUAAUAUUUUUUGCAUGUAAAUAGUCCAUCACUAUACAAUCUUUAGUAUCUAAGUGCUUUGGUGCAGCACAAUGGAUGACUGUAAUAUUUUUUGUAUGUAGAUUACCA